rnacentral:sRNA from 1 species
CCGCCCGUCACACCACGAGAGUUGGUAAUACCAGAAGUAGGUAGCUUAACCGUAAGGAGAGCGCUUCCCAAGGUAGGAUUAGCGAUUGGGGUGAAGUCGUAACAAGGUAUCCGUACGGGAACGUGCGGAUGGAUCACCUCCUUUCUAUGGAGUAAAUUUUAAAAAGCAGCGUGAAACUGCUUUGACUGUUUCUGUUCUAUUUAGUUUUCAGAGGUUAUUAAUUUAAUCUCUGAAAAGAUUGUUCUUUGAAAACUGAAUAUUAGAUGAAAAAACAAUUUUCUUAAUUGAAUUAUAUUCAAUUAUCAAAUUUGACAUCAGUUAUAAAAAAACUAAAAUUAAUGUUAUAAAUUGCAAAUAGAUUUUUUCUAAAAAAUAGUAAGAGCAUAUGGUGAAUGCCUUGGAAAAUGGAGCCGAAGAAGGACGUGACUACCUGCGAAAAGCAUCGGGGAGCUGGAAGUGAGCUUUGAUCCGGUGAUGUCCGAAUGGGGAAACCUAGUACGAUUAAUCUCGUAUUGUCCACAACUGAAUACAUAGGUUGUGAGAUGGGAACCUUGGGAACUGAAACAUCUUAGUACCAAGAGGAAAAGAAAAUAAAUAAUGAUUCUGUUAGUAGCGGCGAGCGAACGCGGAACAGGCCAAACCAGUCUACGGGCUGGGGUUGUAGGACCAUAGUUAGAGUUACAAAAUCAAUGUAUAGUAGAAGCGAUUGGGAAGUCGCAGCACAGAGGGUGAUACUCCCGUAUACGAAAUGCAUUGAUCUCGAAAUGGAUAUCCUGAGUACGGCGAAACACGUGAAAUUUUGUCGGAAUCCGCCGAGACCACUCGGCAAGCCUAAAUACUACCAUUUUACCGAUAGUGAACCA